UCUAUUAUCUGAACGUCACGUAAUGUCACGUCAUGACGCCCGACAGACGGAACUCUAGUCUGCUGAUCUUCACAGAAUCCAUUAACAGCAAAUCUGGAUUUCUCUUCGAGAUCAUGGAUCGGUUCGCGAGUGUCAUUGGCCAACAACAAAAGGGUCUGACGGUGGGCGUGAGUUUGUUGAUCGUCGUUUUGAUCGUCGUUCUUGCGGCGGUUGUUUACACGCCUCCGGGCGCUACGGCACGAUGCUUGAGAAGAAACCGGACUGAAGAACACCUCUCGCUGACUGACAACAGAAUUUCCUGACAAGUCUUUGUGUAGUUUAAACUUAAAACAAAUACUUCUGCUGUCGAAUUAUCCUUUUAAAUAUGGUGCUGUUUACCUUCGGCACUGCCAGAGUUCAUUUACGGAACAUUAAACCACAAACUUAAAGAGCAGAAUGUGUGCCCUUUAAGAUAAUGGUUUCAUAUAAAUGACUUCCGGAUGUGUUUCACCCCGGGACCUUGGCAACUCCAAUUUGCUUUGCUCAUAAUAUGCUGGCAGAACGGACUGUGCUUUACAAAAUCCUCCAGUGGAUGCUCAUUCAAUAAUGAUGUCCUUAAUGUGGACUUUUACGUGCAUUAGAGAAGUUAUUAGCAGUAGGAAAUUAAAUAUUUUUAUGCGUAUACAUAGUGACAGUAAACCCAAAACUAAAAAAUUCAGUCAUCAUUUAAUCACCCGGCCUUGUCAUUUUAAAUCUGUAUGACUAUUUCUUCCACAAAACACAAAAUAAGAUAUUUCGAAGAAAGUAAACGAACACCACUUGCCCGCAUUCAGUUAUUUUAUGGACACAUGCAAGUGAAUGGGGGCUAGUUAACAACAUUCUUUAAAAUAUCUUAUUUUGUGUUCUGCUGAAGAAGUACAGUCAUGCAGUCUUAAAACGACAAGAGGGUCAAUAAAUGAUGUGAGUAAAACUAUCACUUUAACCCCAAUGUUGUGAUUCCAGAAAAAACCAUUAGGUGGACUAGUGCACCGUGAAUGAGGAUGAGACCUGAAGGAUACACACUACUGUGAGAGCAUAUUUUUUUGUUGUUAACACAUUUUUUAUUUUUCACAGUUGCUUUAUAAUGUAGUUAUUCUUGAGUUUUCUUAAUCAAGACAUGUUGCUAUGUCACUUUAACAUGGAAGACCAGAUCUCUGGUCUCAAAUGAGAUUAUAUGAAUGAAUGAUUGAAUGAAUGAGGCAUUUAUAUUGCGCUUUAUUGUGUAUUGCUGUACACCCAAAGCGCUUUAGAAUCAUAUGAGAGGGUUCUCUCCUCACCAUCCACCAGUGGGAUGAGAUUUAACACUAGUGGGACUGAUUAACAUAACUGUUACAAAAACAAUGAGCCAGGUGCUGACUUUCGCUCAAGUAAUAUUAUACACACUGUAUCUAAUGUAUGCAAAAUAGCUGUCAGGUGGACAUUAAUCUGAUUUUCCAUUUUUAUAUAAUGUAUUUUGCUUUAAAUUGUCUGAGAGGGAAUUAUGAUUUUGUAAAUCCCCAAGGAGUGAUUUUUCCUACUCCAUCACCACCAUCCUUUCACUGUCUGUGCAAUGUGCUUUAACAUAAGAGUCUGAAACAAUGACUUUUUCAUGUGUUUUGUGUUGCUGUGAAUUUUGCGUGCAUAUCUGUAAUAUUUCCCCUAAAAUAAAAAAAGAUCUGCGA